rnacentral:misc_RNA from 1 species
AACCAUUCUCACCUGCGGCUAGACCUGCGGAGGGAUCAUUACCGAGUUUACAACUCCCAAACCCCUGUGAACAUACCUAUACGUUGCCUCGGCGGAUCAGCCCGCGCCCUGUAAAAAGGGACGGCCCGCCCGAGGACCCUAAACUCUGUUUUUAGUGGAACUUCUGAGUAAAACAAACAAAUAAAUCAAAACUUUCAACAACGGAUCU